rnacentral:misc_RNA from 1 species
GGACAAGACAUUUUUUAUUGCUGCACUAUUGGCCAUGCAAUAUGAGAAAGGACUGGUAUGUAGUCUUCCGACUCCUCUUCCUCACCUUUUGCCUUCCUGCUGCUUAAUUUUGUUUCACAUUUUCUUUAUUUGCUUUAGUUUUUUCUAGAAUCAGUGCUUGUUUUGAGUUAUUUCUUCAAUGAGACCAUAACUGUGGCACUUCUAUAACAUAGAAGCAAACAAAAAGCUGGAAAAUCUAUAAAAGUUUAUUAUCUUACCCUUCAUGUAGAAACUAAGAAAUGAUAAGAGUAAUAAAUGGGUACUCUUUGGCCUCCCUACUCAUUUUCAACCACAACUAUUAGUAGUUCCUUUUUCCUGAGUUUCACAGAGCACUACUUAAUAACAUGUUUGUUAUAAGGCCAGUAACUGGGGAUGUCUAAAAUUGACACAUGUAACUGGAGAAAUUGAGAGGUAGGGCUAAAAUUGAGACAUCCUGAUAUGGACUGAAAUUUGGAAGAGGGAAGAAACAGAAAAACAGAGAUUUGAGAGGGUGAAAUUUCAGAAGGAAGUAUGCAUUUCAUUCAUUGAUUACAAGAUACGAUGCAUUUCAUUCAUUCAUUACAAGAUACUGAAAUCAGUUUCUUCCUUAGUUAUUUAUUCAAUUACAUCAAGAAACAAAUACAGCUGAUCAUCCACCACCUCUUGCGCUAGAGCCUACACGGGUCCCUCAACUCCAAUCCAUCUCAACAACUGCCAAUGUCUUCAACUUCCUCUUAAUGCCUGUAACAGCCACAACCAACUGAAAUAGUCACUAUGAAAUACAAUGAAAUAUAAUACAUAUCACAACCCUUAAAGGUUUUUAUUUUUGGGGUUAUUU